UCCCGUGUGGCUCAGUUGGUAGAGCAUGGUGUUUGCAACACCAGGGUUGUGGGUUUGAUUCCCACUGGGGAC
rnacentral:tRNA from 1 species